rnacentral:rRNA from 1 species
UACGAAGGGGGCUAGCGUUGCUCGGAAUUACUGGGCGUAAAGCGUGCGUAGGCGGUUCUCCAAGUCCGUUGUGAAAGCCCCGGGCUCAACCUGGGAAUGGCAGUGGAAACUAGGGGACUGGAAUCUGGCAGAGGGGGGUGGAAUGCCGCGUGUAGCAGUGAAAUGCGUAGAGAUGCGGCGGAACACCGAUGGCGAAGGCAGCCCCCUGGGCUGAGAUUGACGCUCAGGCACGAAAGCGUGGGGAGCAAACAGG